rnacentral:tRNA from 1 species
AAUAAGAAGCAAUUUGAUGCAUUUAGUUUCGACCUAAAAAUAAGACUUAUAGUCCUUAUUU